UCAAUAAUCGUAUUAGGUUGUUCAACCAUUACAGACCAAGCAAAAGCUAAAGAAAUCUCCUCAUGUUACUUCAGCCAUGCCGUUGAUGACCGUGUAAUCAAUCUAUACAAAACCAAUCACGUCCUCUUCUUGAAACAUUCAUCUGCUCACGAUUCGGUACGACGAAUCUCUCUCUGCCGUGAAGAAGACCCUCGAAGGAAAAUCAGAUUCGGCCAAGUGUUAAAGUCGGUGCUGAUCUCUUAGUCUUCAAUAAGUGCUAAAAGCUGCCGAUGAGUAUAGUAGGAGCUUAACAUCACAAUACUAGGCAGCUUUGAGAGGCUUAUGAGAAUGUUGGAAACCACAGGAAAGAGAGUAUCCAGAUUGAAGCUUUUGGUUAGUAGACACAGAGAAAGACGAAGAAUACUUUUAUGCUGAUGGGAACUUUGUAGAAUAUGUUAGGGACAAGGAAGUCAAGGAUGCAUGUCCUGACAGUAUUGACAUUAAUCCAAUGUAACUAUGUCGAUGUGCUGCACAUGAUACUGAGAAGAAUG